GAAGGAGUAGAUACCUGAAGCCAUCACCACCGCCGGAAUUUUGCCGGAUUCCCAAGGUUUUCACGAGACCCAUUCGCCUUCACGUUAGGGUUUGCUCUUUUCUACUCUUCGAGAGAUUUUUGCUUGCACCUGUUUUGUGUUUGUUUUAAGCUAGAUGACUAUUGAUGUUGGUAUGGGAUAUGUUUAAGAUUCCAAAAACUUGAUGUUGUAUUUAAGGUUUGUGGCUCCAUUAAAACUCGUGGGUAGGGAUGGGUCUGUAGUUCGUAAAUGUUCAUCCCAUUUUCGACUGAGGUAGAUGUUAGAAAUUUUUUGGUCUUAUAAUAUUUGAAGGUUGGUUUUUGUUUGAAGCCAUAGUUUUAGAGUUAAAGGAAGAAGGAAGUGUAUCGUUCCUUUUUAAUAUCAGCAAUUUCGACUGAGGUAGAUGUUAGAAAUUUUUUGGUCUUAUAAUAUUUGAAGGUUGGUUUUUGUUUGAAGCCAUAGUUUUAGAGUUAAAGGAAGAAGGAAGUGUAUCGUUCCUUUUUAAUAUCAGCAUCUAAGGGCAAUUCUUUUUAAAAAAUCACAUUUAUCCAUGGUAUGAAAGUGGAGUUUCCUAGCUUUAA
rnacentral:lncRNA from 1 species